UAAGAUGGCAACACAGACAACACAUUAAGACACACAACACAUCAACUUGGCAACACACACAACACAUUAACACACACAACACAUCAACUUGGCAACACACACAAGACAUUAACACACACAACACUUUAACUUGGCAGCACCCACAACACAUUAACUUGGCAGCACCCACAACACAUCAACUUGGCAGCACCCACAACACUUCAACUUGGCAGCACCCACAACACAUUAACUUCACAACGGAAGUUUGAUCCACAACGGAAGUUGCGUGGCUUUUAUUCUGAAAUUUCCACCGGGCUAACCGGCUAACAGAAAGUUUCGUCACAGCUGGUGAACUGCAGUGGGAGAAUACACGACAAGCAAGCACUCUGAACAAUGGGAAGAAGGUUCUUUUCUUUUUAAAUGAAGAAUUUAAAAGUGAGCUGAGCUCUAGAAGGAGAAACUUCUGCUCGUUUUUUUCUGAGUUGGUCUUUUUUCUCUCGUCUUUUGAACAUCGUUUUGGAGAACUUAUCAGAUACAAGACAAGGAAAGGAACAACAGAGGGAUGGUGAAGAGGAAAAUAGAAAAGACAUUCUCAAAUAGAAAAUAUAAAGUGGUCCAGUGAUAAAAGACUUCCAGGAUGGCAAUCUUUGAAGUAUGUCAAGUAAAUAUCAUUUGUUUAGUACAGUAAUUUUUGUAAUUCUUUGUAAUGCAGUAUAAGCUUUUGAAAUUAGAACAUGACUAAAAAUUAUGAAGUGGGGAAGAUUGCAAUGUAAACAGGAACUAUAAUUAGCAAAAAAUAAA